rnacentral:rRNA from 1 species
CGCUGGCGGCCUGCUUUACACAUGCAAGUCGAACGGUAACAGGCCGCAAGGUGCUGACGAGUGGCGAACGGGUGAGUAAUGCAUCGGAACGUGCCCAGUCGUGGGGGAUAACUACUCGAAAGAGUAGCUAAUACCGCAUACGAUCUAUGGAUGAAAGCGGGGGACCGUAAGGCCUCGCGCGAUUGGAGCGGCCGAUGUCAGAUUAGGUAGUUGGUGGGGUAAAGGCUCACCAAGCCAACGAUCUGUAGCUGGUCUGAGAGGACGACCAGCCACACUGGGACUGAGACACGGCCCAGACUCCUACGGGAGGCAGCAGUGGGGAAUUUUGGACAAUGGGCGCAAGCCUGAUCCAGCAAUGCCGCGUGCAGGAAGAAGGCCUUCGGGUUGUAAACUGCUUUUGUACGGAACGAAACGGCUCUGGUUAAUACCCGGGGCUAAUGACGGUACCGUAAGAAUAAGCACCGGCUAACUACGUG